rnacentral:rRNA from 1 species
AUUGAACGCUGGCGGCAGGCCUAACACAUGCCAGUCGAGCGGAUGAAGGGAGCUUGCUCCUGGAUUCAGCGGCGGACGGGUGAGUAAUGCCUAGGAAUCUGCCUGGUAGUGGGGGAUAACGUCCGGAAACGGGCGCUAAUACCGCAUACGUCCUGAGGGAGAAAGUGGGGGAUCUUCGGACCUCACGCUAUCAGAUGAGCCUAGGUCGGAUUAGCUAGUUGGUGGGGUAAAGGCCUACCAAGGCGACGAUCCGUAACUGGUCUGAGAGGAUGAUCAGUCACACUGGAACUGAGACACGGUCCAGACUCCUACGGGAGGCAGCAGUGGGGAAUAUUGGACAAUGGGCGAAAGCCUGAUCCAGCCAUGCCGCGUGUGUGAAGAAGGUCUUCGGAUUGUAAAGCACUUUAAGUUGGGAGGAAGGGCAGUAAGUUAAUACCUUCCUGUUUUGACGUUACCAACAGAAUAAGCACCGGCUAACUUCGUG